rnacentral:rRNA from 1 species
AGAAGUUUGAUCAUGGCUCAGAACGAACGCUGGCGGGGUGCCCUAACACAUGCAAGUCGAACGAGACCUUCGCGGUCUAGUGGCGCACGGGUGCGUAAGAAGUGGGAAUAUGCCCUUGGGUUCGGAAAUAAACAGUUGGAAACGAUUGCUAAUACCGGAUAAUGACGUAAGUCCAAAGAUUUAUCGCCCAAGGAUGAGCCCGCGUAGGAUUAGCUAGUUGGUGAGGUAAAGGCUCACCAAGGCGACGAUCCUUAGCUGGUCUGAGAGGAUGAUCAGCCACACUGGGACUGAGACACGGCCCAGACUCCUACGGGAGGCAGCAGUGGGGAAUAUUGGACAAUGGGCGAAAGCCUGAUCCAGCAAUGCCGCGUGAGUGAUGAAGGCCUUAGGGUUGUAAAGCUCUUUUACCCGAAAUGAUAAUGAAAGUACCGGGAGAAUAAGCUCCGGCUAACUCCGUGCCAGCAGCCGCGGUAAUACGGAGGGAGCUAGCGUUGUUCGGAAUUACUGGGCGUAAAGCGCACGUAGGCGGCUUUGUAAGUUAGAGGUGAAAGCCUGGAGCUCAACUCCAGAAUUGCCUUUAAGACUGCAUCGCUUGAAUCCAGGAGAGGUGAGUGGGAAUUCCGAGUGUAGAGGUGAAAUUCGUAGAUAUUCGGAAGAACACCAGUGGCGAAGGCGGCUCACUGGACUGGUAUUGACGCUGAGGUGCGAAAGCGUGGGGAGCAAACUUGAUUAGAUACCCUGGUAGUUCCACGCCGUAAACGAGUUAUAACUAGCUGUCAGGGUUCUUAAGAACUUUGGGUGGCGCAGCUAACGCAUUAAGUUACCCGCCUGGGGGAGACCGGUCCGCAAGAUUAAAACUCAAAGGAAUUGACGGGGGCCCUGCACAAGCGGUGGAGCAUGUGGUUUAAUUUCGAAGCAACGCGCARAACCUUCACCAGCAGUUUGACAUGGCUAGUAUGGUUUUCCAGAGAUGG